rnacentral:rRNA from 1 species
UACGUAGGGUGCAAGCGUUGUCCGGAAUUAUUGGGCGUAAAGAGCUCGUAGGCGGUUUGUCGCGUCUGCUGUGAAAACCCGAGGCUCAACCUCGGGCCUGCAGUGGGUACGGGCAGACUAGAGUGCGGUAGGGGAGACUGGAAUUCCUGGUGUAGCGGUGAAAUGCGCAGAUAUCAGGAGGAACACCGGUGGCGAAGGCGGGUCUCUGGGCCGUAACUGACGCUGGAGGAGCGGAAA